AAUUUGGCCUGCCCCCUGAUUUUAAGUUAAAGGGCCGCAGUAUUAAUAACUGUGCAAAGGUAGCAUAAUCAUUAGGUUUUUAAUUGGAAUCUUGUAUGAAUGGUUGGACAAAAGAAUAACUCUCUUUAUAUUAAUGUUGAAUUUAACUUUUAAGUGAAAAGGCUUAAAUUUACUAAGGGGACGAUAAGACCCUAUAAAACUUUACAUUGUAAUUAUAUUUUAGAAAAUUUAUAAGAUAAAGAUUUAAUUUAAUUAUUUGUUAUGUUGGGGAGAUAUAAGUAAAAUAUUAUUUUAACUGCUUAAAUAAUUAUAUACAAUUAUUAGUGAUAGAGUUGUAAAAGAUCCUUUAUAGGGAUUAAUAGGUUAAGUUACUUUAGGGAUAACAGCGUGAUUUCUUUUGAGAGUUCUUAUCGAAAAAGAAGAUUGCGACCUCGAUGUUGAAUUAAAAAAUCUAUAUAAUGAAGAGGUUAUAUAAGAGGGUCUGUUCGACCUUUAAAAUUUU
rnacentral:rRNA from 1 species